rnacentral:rRNA from 1 species
CCCGCACAAGCGGUGGAGUAUGUUGUUUAAUCGAAGAUACACGAAGAACCUUACCAGGUCUUGACAUACCAUUGACAGGCGCAGAGAUGUGCUCUCCUUCGGGCAAUGGAUACAGGUGGUGCAUGGUUGUCGUCAGCUCGUGCCGUGAGGUGUUGGGUUAAGUCCCGCAACGAGCGCAACCCUCAUUGUUAGUUACUACCAUUCAGUUGAGGACUCUAAUGAGACUGCCAACGAUAAGUUGGAGGAAGGUGGGGAUGACGUCAAAUCAUCAUGCCCUUUAUGACCUGGGCUACAAACGUACUACAAUGGCCAAUACAAAGAGAUGCGAAGCGGUGACGUGGAGCGAACCUCAGAAAGUUGGUCUCAGUUCAGAUUGAAGUCUGCAACUCGACUUCAUGAAGGCGGAAUCGCUAGUAAUCGCGGGUCAGCAGACCGCGGUGAAUACGUUCCCGGGUUUU